UUGGAAUCUUUCUGACGCCGUGACUUCUUACUACUGUAACUUCACGGGCGUAAGGUGCGACGGUCAAGGACUUGUCACCGAUCUUGAUCUUUCCGGUUUGUCACUCUCCGGGAUUUUUCCUGAUGGGAUUUGCUCUUUCCUCCCAAACCUUCGUGUUCUUCGUCUCUCUCGCAACCAUCUGAAUAGAAGCAGCAGCUUCCUCAACGACAUCCCUGACUGUUCUCUUCUUCAAGAGCUGAACAUGAGCUCUCUCUAUCUCACAGCCACACUCCCUGAUUUCUCACCGAUGAAAUCUCUGAGAGUCAUCGACAUGUCUUGGAACCACUUCACCGGUAGCUUCCCACUUUCGAUAUUCAAUCUCACCGAUUUAGAGUAUCUCAAUUUCAACGAGAACCCUGAGUUCGAUCUCUGGACUCUACCGGAUUAUGUGUCCAAACUCACGAAGCUCACACACAUGCUCCUGAUGACGUGUAUGCUCCACGGUAACAUCCCAAGAUCCAUUGGGGAUAUGACUUCCCUUGUUGAUCUCGAACUAAGUGGAAAUUUCCUCUCCGGCGAGAUUCCAAAAGAAAUCGGGAAUCUUUCCAACCUGAGGCAGCUUGAGUUGUACUAUAACUAUCACUUAACCGGCAGUAUACCUGACGAAAUCGGUAAUCUCAAAAAUCUCACGGACUUGGAUAUUUCCGUCAGCAAGUUAACCGGAAGAAUACCGGAAUCAAUAUGCAGUCUUCCAAAACUCCGAGUGCUUCAGCUUUACAACAACAGCUUAACCGGUGAGAUUCCCAAGUCGCUUGGUAACUCAAGAACCUUAAAGAUCUUGUCUCUCUACGACAACUACUUGACCGGUGAGCUCCCGCCAAAUCUCGGGUCUUCCUCGCCUAUGAUCGCUCUUGAUGUUUCGGAAAAUCGCCUCUCUGGUCCACUUCCGAGCCAAGUUUGCAAAUCCGGUAAGCUUUUGUACUUUCUUGUACUACAAAACCGGUUCUCUGGCUCGAUCCCUGCGACUUAUGGGAGGUGCAAGACUCUUAUCCGGUUCCGUGUUGCGAGCAACCGCCUCGUGGGAACUAUACCCCAAGAAGUCACGUCUCUACCUCAUGUCUCCAUCAUCGACUUGGCUUACAACUUCUUAUCGGGUCCAAUACCUAAUUCCAUCGGAAACGCUUGGAAUUUGUCAGAGCUGUUUAUGCAGGGUAAUAAAAUCUCCGGUGUUAUACCUUCCGAAAUAUCCCAUGCCACAAAUCUUGUGAAGCUUGAUCUCAGCAACAAUCAACUGACUGGUCCAAUACCUUCAGAGAUUGGAAGACUCCGACGACUAAACUUGCUUGUUCUGCAAGGAAACCACCUUGAUUCAUCAAUCCCUGAGACUGAGUCCCUUUUGUUUACAAUUUACUAAUUUAAUGUUUUUUAACACUGACUAUAUUAUAGCAAUCGCUCAUGGAAGGCUGUGAGCGAUGUCUAUCCGAGAAGAAAAAAACUCAAGCAAAAAAAAAUAUGUCGAGACAAGAGCGAGGUUCUUGGACAGGUGAUCGUGCACUCUUUAGUAUCAGAUUCAGUGAUAUUUCAACUCUUCUUUUGUGAUAAAAACAAGAAAUUAAAGUAAAGCUUCGGAGGUAUAAAGUUGGCUACAUACACCUCUACAUUAUUCUCCAUAAUAAGUUAGUGGGUAUAAUCAUAAAGCUUCUUUAUCUAAAGGAAACAUAUCUAUUCUCCCUUUCUUCAAUUAUAUUUAUUUAAAAAUCUAUCUUUUUCGUAAAAUCCAUCUAUCUGAUUCUGAUCGUAUACAGAAAAACUUGAACCCGUCUUUCGUUUUUAUAAGGUCGCAUUAAUUUCAGUCCUUCAACUCGUAAGCUCUUUUUAUUUCCCCUCAUUUAUCCUCCCAGACCCAAAAGUUCUCUCUUUCUUGCGUCCUAAGUUUGCUCCUGCUGCUUACUUUAGAGCUUUUCCUGAAAUGCUUUUCAGACUUUUCCCAGUUUUUGUUCUUCUCAUAUUUUGCUUCAACAGCAACCAAUUAUGGGGCUUGAUGACUUCCAACCAACAAUCACAAUUCUUCAAGCUUAUGAAAAACUCUCUUUCCAGCGAUGCUUUGUCCUCUUGGAAUCUUUCUGACGCCGUGACUUCUUACUACUGUAACUUCACGGGCGUAAGGUGCGACGGUCAAGGACUUGUCACCGAUCUUGAUCUUUCCGGUUUGUCACUCUCCGGGAUUUUUCCUGAUGGGAUUUGCUCUUUCCUCCCAAACCUUCGUGUUCUUCGUCUCUCUCGCAACCAUCUGAAUAGAAGCAGCAGCUUCCUCAACGACAUCCCUGACUGUUCUCUUCUUCAGGAGCUGAACAUGAGCUCUCUCUAUCUCACAGCCACACUCCCUGAUUUCUCACCGAUGAAAUCUCUG
rnacentral:lncRNA from 1 species